rnacentral:rRNA from 1 species
UUCGGGGGACAGGGUGACAGGUGGUGCAUGGUUGUCGUCAGCUCGUGUCGUAAGAUGUUGGGUUAAGUCCCGCAACGAGCGCAACCCUCGACCUUAGUUGCCAGCAUUCAGUUGGGCACUCUAAGGUGACUGCCGGCUAAAAGUCGGAGGAAGGUGGGGAUGACGUCAAAUCAUCAUGCCCUUAUGACCUGGGCUACACACGUGCUACAAUGGGCGGGUACAAAGGGUCGCGAACCCGCGAGGGGGAGCCAAUCCCAAAAAGCCGCUCUCAGUUCGGAUUGCAGGCUGCAAUUCGCCUGCAUGAAGUCGGAAUCGCUAGUAAUCGCAGGUCAGCAUACUGCGGUGAAUACGUUCCCGGGCCUU